UUAGUAUUUUACACAGAUAGCAAAACCACUUGCAAAGUCAACAAAACUUAUUUCCUAUCAUUGUCACGUAUUUUUGUAACAAAAAUGUUAGUUUGAUGAACGCUAGGAUAAAAGUGGCCCAUGGUCUAAUUUAUUCGUUGUCGACUGCUUCCUUCCUCCCUUCCGCAGUUAGAUUAUGCUAGAAGCAGAACCAACUUCUAUCGCUCGCCUACUCUCUGCGUGAACGCAGCCCGACGACUCGGCCAACAUGGCGGCGCUCGAAUGCGACCGAAAUGGCAAAUGUGCCUUCUUUGUGGACAAAAAGAGACGUUUUUGUAAAAUGGUCGUCGCCAAAGGCCAUAGGUUUUGCGGAGAACACGCCAACAUGGACACGAACGUCUACGAAGAAGGCUGCUGCAGGAGAAUCGUCUGUCCACUCGACCCCAAACAUACGGUCAGCAAAGACAAUCUGUACAAACACUUGAGGAAGUGCAACUCUCGCGACAAAGCAAAGCCGGUUUACUAUGUGGAAAACAUCAACGCCGGCUCAGUCGACAACACAGAACACUCGCUCCAAGAGACAACUUUGUGUGAGAGAAGCGCCACCCAAUUACAACACCUGCUGGACAAACUGGACUCUGCUUCGAAAGGUCUGCCAUGUGAGCCGGAAGAGCUCUUCAUGUCUCACGGUGUUCUCCAGGAGGUAAUCGAUAAUCCCAAGAAUGGCGAUUCUGCCUGCAAACACCUGAAGCAGCAGUCUUCCAUCUUGGGCCACUUGGAGGUGUUGGGGCUGCUGCGACGCGGCCGCUGCUUUGUAGAGUUCGGGGCGGGGCGAGGGAAACUGUCACACUGGAUCCUCCGGGCCCUGGAGGGCGACCGGCAAGAGCACCUGCAGAUACUGCUGGUGGAGCGGAGCAGCACCCGAUUCAAGGUGGACGGCAAGCAUCGGGAGGGCGACGUGGAGUUUGCCAGGCUGCAGAUUGACAUUCAGCACCUGGACCUGAGUCAAAUCCCGCUGCCUAAACACGGGCUGCCGCUGGUCGCCGUCGGGAAGCAUUUAUGCGGCGCGGCCACAGACCUGGCUCUCCGCUGUCUCUUCCAAAAACGGUCGGUGCAGGAAGCAGGCCGGCCCUCGAAAUGCGACCCGGCGACGAGCGAUCCCAGUGGGGUUGCGGGCCUGGCGCUGGCGCUGUGCUGCCACCACCGCUGCGAGUGGCGUCACUACGUGGGACGGCGCUUCUUCUCAGAUCUGGGUUUGGGGCCCGCCGAAUUUUCGGGAUUCUGCCGCAUGUCCAGCUGGGCCACAUGCAGCUCACGAGCAUCGUGUCAGACGGCGGAAGUAGCGCCAGGGUGGCUGUCGCCGGCUGAGCGCGAGCGGAUUGGUCGCCGCUGCAAGCAUCUGCUGGACGCCGGCAGAAUCGAGUUCCUGCGCCGCCAAGGAUUCUGUGGACGGCUAACGCGUUACGUUGACACUCAGGUGACCCCGGAAAAUGUCCUGUUGACGGCCACGCCCCUCUCGCCUCCGUCUCCUCCCUCCUAAUUGGCCUCAUCAAGCGCUCUCUUGCGGGCCUCCUGGAUGUACGUCAGCAUGAACUCUCGUCCGAACAUCUCACGCUCCUCCUCCUCCUCCUCGUCGGCGGCGUCGGCCAUCUCCAGCGUCAGCGGGUUGUCCCGGAAGUUCACAAACCUUCACACAAGAACAGCCGAGGCGUCCCAUCACCGCUGAGGAACAGGAGUGAAAGCAGCCAGCUAACCUUUGGCAGGCCGGUCACGGUUUUACCUUGUCCGGAAGCCGGUCCAGCUCGCGGUUGACGGCAAGUUCCAGCCUCUCAAGGCUCUCGCAGUCUCCCAGUUCCUCCGGAACCAAGCGGACUUUGUUAUAGCUGAGCAAAAGUUCCCGAAGUUGCGUCAAGCUGCCUGCGACACCACAACGUGCUGAAGUCACAUAUUUCGUUUUAGGGUCUACGUGUUCUCUUCUGACAACCGCCCACCGAUGUCUUUGGGGAUCUCAGUCACCCCGUUCCGCGACAAGUCGAGGACCAGGAGAUUGCUGAAGAGGGAGAUGAAGCUCGGAAUCUUCUGCAGUCCCGUCCGGUGGAUGUGCCACUCUUGGACCUGACUCAGCCGCACCAGGCAGCCCGGCAGUGCCUGGACAGGCACGUCACAAAAUCAAUCUCAAAGGUUCACCUCAGGGGAGGGAAUACUUUGCGGUCGCUAAGGAUAAAAGUACUGCUCCGACUGCUUUACGUACUGGGAAUCUAAAACUAUAGACGUUGAAGUGUACUUAAGUGCCACAGUCCAAAAUAAUUUGGGCUGUCAAUCAGGGCAGUAGAUGGCUGUUUCUUCUGCCUUACAAGACGCAUCUCAACUGCGUUUGAUUUUCUCUCUCGAUUACAUCGUAUUGCCUAUUCGCGGACGUUGGGGGUAGGGGUGUAAAUCGCGGGUUUUGUCACGAUACGAUAUCAUAUCGAUACAAAGAAACACAAUACGAUAUUUGCCGAUAUCUUAAAGCCUGCUGUGAUUCAUUCACGAUACAUCACGAUAUAGUGCUCCACGAUCGAUAUAGAAUAGGGGUGUAACGAUUCAUCGAUACACAUCGAUUCAUCGAUAUAAUGCUCUACGAUUUAUUGGCAUUGAUGCUAAACGUAAACAUCGAUUUAUAUCGCCGUGUUUGACCUCGGACAUUAGACGCGACUUUAUUUUGAAAUCCAGUUCAUUGUUGCUUGCUUCCUCUUUCCGGGAGCAGUGCGCGCCGCGGCGUUGUUGUGUUGUGAGCAGAGCAGGCACGUGAAAGGGGAGUUGACAACUAGUACGCGGCUCCUGGGCUGGUGCUAUGGCUAGUGUCCAAAAUGACGAGGAAAUUUGCUCCCCUUUAGGCUUCAAGUCAUUCGUUUGGAAGCACUUUGGAUUCCAAAGAAAAGAUGGCUCAACAGACAAGACACGUGCAGUUUGUAAAUCCUGCCAUGCGGUGAUCAAAUAUUCAGGGAGAACAAAUCUCGCCGCACAUUUAAAGAAAAAACACGACAUCAAAGUUCAGUGUUAAAAUAAGCACUUUGUAUACUACAAUACUCUUGUAAUUUCCUAAAUAAAGAGUUUGCAGUACCUUGUUGAUUUUGUGUAUGAAUUGUUAUAAAUCAGGAUAUUGUUCUAUAUUUUUUAUUUUAAAAAAAAUGUAUAUAUCGAUCGUAGAGCACUAUAUCGCGAUAUAUCGUGGAUGAAUCGCAGCAGGCUUUAAGAUAUCGGCAAAUAUCGUAUCGUAGUUCUUUGUAUCGAUAUGAUAUCGUAUCGUGACAAAACCCGCGAUUUACACCCCUAAUAAGCACACCCCCCGGAAGAGAAGCGAACCCGCAGAAUUUGAUUUGACGUCACACUAUACCACCCCCCCCCCCCCCCCCCCCCCGGAAGAGAAGCGAACGCGCAGCGUUUGAUUUGACGUCACACUAGCACCCCCGGAGAGAAGCGCUUGACGUCCGAUUAGGCCAACCCCCCCCCCCGGAAGAGAAGGGAACGCGCAGUGUUGGACAUCCCACUAGCCAACCAACCCCCCUCGGAAGUGAAGGGAACGCGCAGCGUUGGACAUCCCACUAACCCCUCCCCGGAAGAGAAGGGCACGCGCAGCGUUGGACGUCCCACUAGCCCCCAGGGAGAGAAGCAACAACAAAUACCGUUUUUUUCCGUGUAUAGUGCGCCUCCAUGUAUAGUACGCACCCCUAACAAUGGCAUGCUGAUGCUGGAAAAAAGCUUGUACCCAUGUAUAAUACGCACCCAAUUUUUAUGAAUUUUUUUAAAAAUUGUUUUAAAUUUUUUUUUAAAUUUUUUUUUAAAUUUUUUUUUUUUUUUUUUUAAGUCCCAAAGAUCGUCACACACGCAGGGAGGCAAUGGGUCCCAUUUUUAAAGUCUUUGGUAUGGUCUUAACUAGGCUGGAUGUCAUUUUUUUUGUUGGCGUUGAUUUCUCCGACUGCCCCUAAACGCACCACCGCGCUCCGUGCGCACACGGCGGCUCUGUAUGGGAGAGACGUUGAAGAGGAAUAAAAACACCCUUGGAAACCAAAA